rnacentral:rRNA from 1 species
UACGGAGGGGGCUAGCGUUGUUCGGAAUUACUGGGCGUAAAGCGCGCGUAGGCGGCUUUGUAAGUUAGAGGUGAAAGCCCGGAGCUCAACUCCGGAACUGCCUUUAAGACUGCAUCGCUAGAACGAUGGAGAGGUAAGUGGAAUUCCGAGUGUAGAGGUGAAAUUCGUAGAUAUUCGGAAGAACACCAGUGGCGAAGGCGGCUUACUGGACAUCUGUUGACGCUGAGGUGCGAAAGCGUGGGGAGCAAACAGG